AUUGAACGCUGGCGGCAGGCCUAACACAUGCAAGUCGGACGAGCGGCGGACGGGUGAGUAAUGUAUGGGGAUCUGCCUGAUGGAGGGGGAUAACUACUGGAAACGGUAGCUAAUACCGCAUACCAUCAGAUGAACCCAGAUGGGAUUAGCUGGUAGGUGGGGUAACGGCUCACCUAGGCGACGAUCCCUAGCUGGUCUGAGAGGAUGACCAGCCACACGGGAACUGAGACACGGUCCAGACUCCUACGGGAGGCAGCAGUGGGGAAUAUUGCACAAUGGGCGCAAGCCUGAUGCAGCCAUGCCGCGUGUAUGAAGAAGGCCUUCGGGUUGUAAAGUACUUUCAGCGGGGAGGCGUUACCGGCAGAAGAAGCACCGGCUAACUCCGUGCCAGCAGCCGCGGUAAUUC
rnacentral:rRNA from 1 species